rnacentral:rRNA from 1 species
CCUACGGGUGGCAGCAGUAGGGAAUUUUCGGCAAUGGGGGGAACCCUGACCGAGCAACGCCGCGUGAACGAAGAAGUUCUUCGUGAUGUAAAGUUCUUUUAACAGGGAGGAAAGAGAAAUUUUACGGUACCUUAAGAGUAAGCUCCGGCUAACUACGUGCCAGCAGCCGCGGUAAUACGUAGGGAGCGAGCGGUAUCCGGUAUUAUUGGGCGUAAAGGGUGCGUAGAUGGCAUAGUAAGUCUUUUGUAAAAAUGCUGGGCUAAACCCAGUAGGGCAAAAGAUACUGCAAAGCUAGAGUAUGACAGAGGCAAGUGGAACUACAUGUGUAGCGGUAGAAUGCGUAAAUAUAUGUAAGAACACCAGUGGCGAAGGCGGCUUGCUGGGUCGAUACUGACAUUGAGGCACGAAAGCGUGGGUAUCAAACAGGAUUAGAUACCCCUGUAGUC